rnacentral:misc_RNA from 1 species
GCACUGCUUCCGGUAAAUUGUCAUUUCCUUCAUAACAAGCGUCGAGAUAUCAUGCCAGGACAUACCAAAAACCGUUUUCUCCUCCUGUAUGGCUCGCAGACUGGCCAAGCUAAAGCCAUAUCAGAGGAGAUUUGUGAGAGAGCAGAAAAGGAGGGACUCCAUGCUGAGACGCAUUGUCUUAGUCAAACCGAAAAAAAGUUUAACAUAGAGAAAGAAAGAUGUGUUGUCAUCGUCACAUCAACAACCGGUGAUGGAGAGCCCCCUGACACAGCCUGUAAGUUUGUGCGGAGGUUGAAGAAGAAGACACUAGCGGAGGACCACCUUGCUGGGCUCCAUUACACCUUGCUAGGCCUGGGAGAUUCCAACUACACCAACUUCUGUAACUGUGGGAAGACAAUUGAUCGGCGUUUGGAGGAUCUAGGUGCUGUCAGAUUCUACAACAGCGACUGGGCCGAUGAUGCUGUGGGCUUGGAGGUUGUAGUGGAGCCAUGGAUUGACGGAUUGUGGGCUGCUCUCAGAAAAUUUUUGGAUUUACCAGAACCUGAUGAUCCAGGAAGGUCUGAAGUUGUUGAGUGUUGUGAGAACUCUGAUAACAACACCUCCAUCCCAUCAGGGGACACACAAAGUAAUAUCCAGUCAAGUCUUCGUCAGAAUGGGAACACAUCUCUUGAAGCAACAGAAUCUCAAGUCCCUGCCAUGACUGACCUGUCAAGGGAGACAACUGUGACCAGUGUGACUGAUUCUGUGACAGCCUUGACUUUAAAUGAUGACAAGAAUAAUCAUAUAAAAAAUAGCAAUACACCUUCACAUACUUCAGAGGUUUUGAUUAUUGAUCAAAACAAUUUACUCAACAGGACUAAUAAAGAGACUUCAUUAGCAGCUCAGAAUAGGACUGAGAAUUCAGCUCAGAAAGGGACUGACCAGUCAGCUCAGAAUGUGUCCAUAGAAAAGCAGACAGUCGCAUCUACCUCUGACACAACGCAAGGAGACUGUUCCGUCUCCACCUGUGUACCGAGUCUGUGUGUUUCUGUUCCGCCACUGUGUGAGAGUGAUCUGUCUGUUCCAGCUCUCCCGCCUGCGUUCCUCACCUGCACCCAUAUGCCCGAGAACACUUUGGAUACAACUUCAUUGCCAAUGCAAAAUGGCUCUAAGUUUCCGUCUGCUUCAAGUGAUGUCGCCAUGGUUACUGUUGAAGAUGCAGAAGUCCUCACAAGGGAUGAUGCUGUCAAGAAGACCUUGCUGCUCUCUUUAAACACUGAGGGGAGUGGGCUGACUUAUGAGGCUGGCGAUGCUGUGUCUGUCGUCUGCCCUAACGACCCUCAGGAAGUGGACAGGCUGUUGGACAGACUUGAUCAUGCAAGUGAUGCUGACUCAACUGUAGAGCUGAGUGUGAUCCCGGGGACCAAGAAGAAGAAUGCUACCAUUCCUGCUCACAUUCCUCCUCUGUGCUCCCUCAGACACAUCUUCCUCACAUGUGUCGACAUCCGGGACCAACCCAAGAAGGCACUGCUGAGGAUAUUUGUGGAGUUUACAAGCGAUGAUUGUGAAAAACGACGUCUCCAGGAACUUUGCAGCAAACAAGGAGCGGGAGAUUACGCUACUUUCAUCCGAGAGUCCAGAUUGUCUCUACUGGAUGUUCUUACUGCCUUCCCCUCAUGUCACCCGCCGGUGGAGAGGGUCAUCGAACAACUCCCCAGACUUCAGCCCAGGCCUUAUUCAGUGUGCAGUUCUCCUCAGACACAACUCAACAGACUCAACAUUGUCUUCAACAUCGUGUGCAUCCCUGGCACUGAUGGAAGAUCAGCCCCCAGGAAGGGUGUGUGCACUGGUUGGCUGGAUACUAUCACCAUGGCAACACAAACCAACGACAGUUGUCAGAACAAGGAGGGGAAUGAUCUCAAGGUUCCCAUAUUUACACGCACCAAUCAGCUUUUCCGGUGUCCAGAAGAUGUUUCUGUGCCCAUCAUUCUGAUUGGUCCAGGAACAGGCGUUGCUCCCUUCAUUGGCUUCCUCCAGCAUAGAGCAUGGCAGAGGAGCCAGUCAGAAGCAGACGUGCCAUAUGGGCAGACGUGCCUAUUUUACGGGUGUCGACAUCAAGACAGAGAUUACCUCUUCAGGAAAGAGUUACAAGAGUUUCAAGAAUCAGGAGUCCUCAGCCAUCUGUUUGUCAGCUUCUCCAGGGAUGGUCAGCCGGAAGGCUCCCCCAGAUAUGUACAAGACCAGCUCCUGCAGCAAGGGGAGCUAACUCUAGAUCUGAUUGAGAAACAGGGUGCUGUUGUGUAUGUAUGUGGUGAUGCUCGCAACAUGGCCAAAGACAUAACCAAUGCCUUUGUACAGAUUUUGAAGGAACAUCAGGGUAUGAGUGACACUGAUGCCUCAGGGUACCUGAUGAAGAUGAGACUACACAAGAAGUAUCUAGAAGAUGUGUGGACAUAGACUGGCGGACAGACACAGUCAAGACAUGUGGACAUAGACUGGCGGACAGACACAGUCAAGACAUGUGGACAUAGACUGGCGGAC